rnacentral:rRNA from 1 species
CACGUAGGCGGACUCUUAAGUCAGGGGUGAAAUCCCGGAGCUCAACUCCAGAACUGCCUUUGAUACUGGGAGCCUUGAGUUCGGGAGAGGUGAGUGGAACUGCGAGUGUAGAGGUGAAAUUCGUAGAUAUUCGCAAGAACACCAGUGGCGAAGGCGGCUCACUGGCCCGAUACUGACGCUGAGGUGCGAAAGCGUGGGAGCAAACA